UCACGACCUACAGGUGAAUGACCAUCCAACCUACGAAGUCGGCUACCAGAAGGACACCGGUAACGACUUCUUUAAGGGGCGCAUUGCACUCUGUUGAUGGCAACGCGUACAACUUACUUGGCUGUUCAGCUUUUCCAUCUUGUCACCACUAAGAUGUCUGCAUUACUGAGAUGCAUGCAAAUGGCCCUUCCUCGGUUUCUUCUCAGUGAAUCGCUUGAUUGAUGAUGAUUCUGCAGUGUCUACUGUAAACAUCAAUAAAAUCCCUUGAAGUAUAUUUA